UGGCGGCGUGCCUAAUACAUGCAAGUCGAACGCAUUGUGGUUGAAAUGAUAUGAAGAACUUGUUCAGAUUUGAUUUUCAACAUUGCAAUGAGUGGCGAACGGGUGAGUAACACGUGGGAAACCUACCUCUUAGCAGGGGAUAACAUUUGGAAACAAAUGCUAAUACCGUAUAAUAAUUAAAACCGCAUGGUUUUAGUUUAAAAGAUGGUCUUGCUAUCACUAAGAGAUGGUCCCGCGGUGUAUUAGUUAGUUGGUGAGGUAAUGGCUCACCAAGACAAUGAUACAUAGCCGAGUUGAGAGACUGACCGGCCACAAUGGGACUGAGACACGGCCCAUACUCCUACGGGAGGCAGCAGUAGGGAAUCUUCCACAAUGGACGAAAGUCUGAUGGAGCAACGCCGCGUGUGUGAUGAAGGGUUUCGGCUCGUAAAACACCGUUGUAAGAGAAGAAUGACAUUGAGAGUAACUGUUCAAUGUGUGACGGUAUUUACCAGAAAGGAACGGCUAAAUACGUG
rnacentral:rRNA from 1 species